AAAGACCUAACGUUAUUCUGCAUGCCCAAGCUCGGAGCGCAGCGUUAGGAACACCUGACACUAGGUGUCGGGACGCCAUUGGUUGCAUUGAGGCUGUCGGGACUCAGCAGACGAGAAAAGGAGCCCACGGAUUUUUCUUGUCACUCUCCGUCUCUUCGUCCUCUUAUCUGUAUAAAGACCCCAAAUCCCUCUUCCGUUCCGAUUGAAGAACAUAAGCAAAGAAUUCUUGGAAGUUGGAACCAUAGGCCCUGCCCCCUUAUUCAUCUGGGCUCCGUUUUGAUUUGAGUUCAGCGGCAGCCGGUAUUGAAUCUCUCCUGCCCCAUGCUCUUCUCCGUCUCCAUUCUAGCUAGGCGUUUGCAACGGCAGCCGGCGACUCUUAAGGCUAUUGAGCCACUGCCCUCUUCUUCUUCUUUUCCGUCUCCGUUCACAGAUGAUUACAUCGGCGGCCAGCGAGUCUCUGUCUUCUUUAUCAAGAGUUAGCGUUAAUUAUUCAAUUUCUUUGGCAUGAGUGGAUUCGGCAAUAUGGUCAAAAUCACUUAUCAACAACAAAAAUUUAUGCUAUCUGUACAAAAUUCUAGCUCUUACCUUUGUGGCUUGUGAUGGAAUACAACCUCUUUUCAGGAAACUGAGGUGUGCUUGUGUUUGUUUUCAUGUCAAUUCUUCCCAAAAAAUCAAACGUUGUCACAAUGCAGGGAGAUCGUAGUUACACUGUUAAUGAUGAAUCUGAUCGGAGCAAUGAGAAUCAUGAACUUGUUGCUGCUCCUGCGACCAAUAAAAUACAAAUGAUUUGUGGAGAUCGUAGUUACACUGCUAAUGAUGAAUCUGAUCGGAGCAAUGAAAGUAAUGAACUUGUUGCUGCUCCUGCGAUCAAUAAAACACAAAUGAUUUGUAUUUUUAUUUAUUAGAAUAUUAUUGUUUUAAUAAAUUUAAGUUUAAUUGAUUUUGUAGGAGGGAUGCCCUACAAUCUGAUCCCAUGAA